UAGGGAAUUUUUCGCAAUGGGGGAAACCCUGACGAAGCAACGCCGCGUGGAGGAUGAAGGCCUUCGGGUCGUAAACUCCUGUCGAUCGGGACGAACGUGGUCGGGUCCAAUACACCCGGCUAUCGACUGUACCGGUAAAGGAAGCUCCGGCUACCUCUGUGCACGCCGCCGCGGUAAUACAGAGGGAGCAAGCGUUGUUCGGAAUUACUGGGCGUAAAGGGCGCGUAGGCGGUCCGAUAAGUCCCGUGUGAAAUCCCUCGGCUCAACUGAGGAAUGGCACGGGAAACUGACGGGCUUGAGUUCGGGAGAGGGAAGCGGAAUUCCGGGUGUAGCGGUGAAAUGCGUAGAUAUCCGGAGGAACACCGGUGGCGAAGGCGGCUUCCUGGACCGACACUGACGCUGAGGCGCGAAAGCUAGGGGAGCAAA
rnacentral:rRNA from 1 species